rnacentral:rRNA from 1 species
UACGAAGGGGGCAAGCGUUGUUCGGAAUUACUGGGCGUAAAGGGCGCGUAGGCGGUGCACUAAGUCAGGCGUGAAAGCCCUGGGCUCAACCCGGGAAUUGCGCUUGAUACUGGUGCGCUUGAAUCCAGGAGAGGUUGGUGGAAUUCCCAGUGUAGAGGUGAAAUUCGUAGAGAUUGGGAAGAACACCGGUGGCGAAGGCGGCCAACUGGACUGGUAUUGACGCUGAGGCGCGAAAGCGCGGGGAGCAAACAGG